rnacentral:rRNA from 1 species
GUGCCAGCAGCCGCGGUAAUACGUAGGUGGCAAGCGUUAUCCGGAAUUAUUGGGCGUAAAGCGCGCGUAGGCGGUUUUUUAAGUCUGAUGUGAAAGCCCACGGCUCAACCGUGGAGGGUCAUUGGAAACUGUAAAACUUGAGUGCAGAAGAGGAAAGUGGAAUUCCAUGUGUAGCGGUGAAAUGCGCAGAGAUAUGGAGGAACACCAGUGGCGAAGGCGACUUUCUGGUCUGUANACUGACGCUGAUGUGCGAAAGCGUGGGGAUCAACAGGAUUAGAUACC